GCCACUUUGGCCUCCAGGUCCUGGAGUAGCCUCUUAUAACCUGAUAAAAGGGGACGUGAGCCACAGAUGAGCUGCGAAUAUGAGCCCGCGCGAGGAAGGUUGCGGAAAGUUAGAGUAGGAGAGAAGGAAGGACCCUCCGCAGUCUCAGAAGCCGCUCUGGCACUGGAGUCCGCGGGUGGGAGGUUUCCAGCUGGCUUGGGGGCCUCCCGGGGACCCGGGGCACAGCCUGGCUGAUCCUCUCCUGGCUCUGGGGAGACCCUGGCUGCUGGGCGUGUAGGGCCACCAGGGACCUAAGGGUCCCGGAGACCAGCCAGGCAGCUGUGCACGCGAGAGGAGUGGUGUGCGUACCGUCCAUGUUGACCUUCACAGACAGGCAGCAGAAGCCAUCCACCCUCCUGAGAAGCCCCACGGCCUGUUCCAGGGUCGUGUCCUCCAGGACUGCCUUGAACAAGGGCUCUGAGGCUUCGUAAUCAACCUGAGGGCAAGUCGAGAAGGUCGGUCUCUUUCCCCGGGACGCUGAAUCCAGCCAGGAUGCAGGGGGCACUGAGGGCACUGAGGCAAGGUGUGGGCCAGCCCUGGAGUAGGACCACUGCCUGCACGCCUUGGCCAAAACAAAGCUGCACCACCAGAGCCUCUGUGGGGCCUUCAGACCUGUAGUGAUGCAUGCUACACAUGGUCCUGGCCAAAGAGUCAACUGCCGACCCUUCCCCAACCCGUCCACUGUCGAGGUUGCGGGUUUUUUUGUGAUAAGCAUUUUCCUCUCUUGAAGAAAAAAAAGAAAGGACCUUGGUUCUAGAACAUUCAAGAGCAUUCUAGAUAGGGGUUUCUUAGCUUUGGGAUCAUUCUGUGCUGCUGCGGGCUGUCCCAGGCCCUAUAGGAUGCAGAGUGGCAUCCCCAGCCUUCACCCACCUGCUGCCCUGGCUCUCCACCCACGGCCUUCCCCACUGUGAAGGCCCACCCCACAGGGCUUCCACCAUCCACUUCAUUUCUUCUUGAUAUUGUUCUAAGCUUAGGAGAGUAGAUCUUUUUACGAUACAAAAUUAGGAUGUGUUUUAACACCAUUAGAAUUGAAUUGGCCCCCUUAGGAUAUCGGGACUGUCUCCCUGAACACCGUCAAGGGGCUCUGUUGCUUGAACUGCCUCAGAGCUGAUCAUUGGAACCUUAAGAGCAGGGUCCCCCGCCCCUGGGCCACAGACUGGUCCUGGUCCAUGGUCUGUUAGGACCCGGGCCACACAGCAGGAGGGUGUGGUGGGCGAGUGAGCAUUACGGCCUCAGCUCCGCCUCCUGUCAGCUCAGCACAGCAGCAGAUUCUCACAGGAGCGUGAGCCCUGCUGUGAACUGCACGUGCGCGGGAUCUGGGUUUCACACUCCUUAUGAGAAUCUAAUGCCUGAUGAUCUGUCACUGUCUCCUGUCACCCCAGAUGGGACCGUCUUGUUGCAGGAAAACCAGCUCAGGGCUCCCACUGAUUCUGAAUUAUGGUUCAGGGUAUAAUUCUUUCAUUACAUAUUACAGUGUAAUAAGAAUAGAAAAGUGUACAAUCAA